rnacentral:rRNA from 1 species
UACGUAGGGGUCGAGCGUUGUCCGGAGUUACUGGGCGUAAAGCGCGUGCAGGUGGCUCAUUACGCCCGGCGUGAAAGCCCCCGGCUCAACCGGGGGAGGGUCGUCGGGGGACGGGUGAGCUUGAGGGUAGCAGGGGCUGGUAGAAUUCCCGGUGUAGUGGUGAAAUGCGUAGAGAUCGGGAGGAACACCCGUGGCGAAGGCGGCCAACUGGGGAUACACCUGACGCUGAGGCACGAAGGCGUGGGGAGCGAACGGG